UGGGGUGGGGCGUGAGUGAAGAUGCCAGAAGACACGGACUGUCCAUCUGAGGACCACGAGCCCUGGUCACGCUCCUUCUGCUCUGCGUGGAAGCUGCAGCCCCCCUGCCCUGCUUCUAGAUCCGGGGGAUGGUGGGGAUGCUGUGUCGGAAGUGGGGUUCGUUCAGGUUGGAAGAGGCGGCAGUGUUGUGGACCCGCCUGGAGAAGAGCCGUCUUUGCCAGGGGACGCAGAGUUGCUGAUCCUUGACGCUUUGGACCGGCCUGCGAGGGCUGCGUGUUUAGCCUUGCGAGACUGGCACAGAAGUGGGUGGACAGCCCGUGCAACGUGUGCACGGAGCCAGUGGUGGAGGACUCGGCUUUUAGCUCUCUUAAUUUAUUAGUGCAGCUGCUGAGUGGGUUUUGAGGUCCUAAUCCCGACAAGCAGAAUUGGUGUGACACGGGGCAUCUAGCAGAUGACCUCCCCUUUCUGCAGAUCUGGGGGCUGACCUGGACCUCACCAUUGCCCUAUGUAGUGUUAUUGGCGCCCCGCCCACCCAGUGUUUUACAGCAGCAGAGCUGAGUGGCUGCAGCAGAGACCAUAGAGCACAGAAAGACAAAAACGUUCACCCUGGCCCUUUGCAGAAAUAGUUUGCUGACUCCUGGUUUAGGUCACAUAAAAAGGAAAGUACUUUUCUAAAAGUCUUUCUGUAGUUUUAGAAACUCCCCGAAGAGUUUAGCAUUUAGGGAUUGAGGAGACCCCUGGUUCAGUUAAACUCUGACACGCAGCUCUCAGAUUUCUCCUGGGUGUCCACUCAGAGCUAGAUUGGGGGAGGGUGGGGCCUGGAUUAAGAUUAGCCUGGGCUCCUACUGAAACACUGUUCUUGGAAAUAAAUCUUAGAUUAGGUUUGGGAUCUGGAAGCUAAGCCUGCAAAGCCUGUGUUGUAGGUGGUCCAUGUCUUUGUGGGUGGUCCACAUCUUGGUAGGUGGGUCAGUGUCUUUGUAGGUGGUCCACAUCUUUGUAGGUGGUCCACAUCUUUGUAGGUGGUCCAUAUCUUUGUGGGUAGUCCGUGUCUUGGUAGGUGGGUCAGUGUCUUUGUGGGUGGUCCACAUCUUUGUGGGUGGUCCAUAUCUUUGUGGCUAGUCCGUGUCUUAGUAGGUGGGUCAGUGUCUCUGUGGUAGUCCACAUCUUUGUGGGUGGUCCACAUCUUUGUGGGUGGUCCAUGUCUUGGUAGGUGGGUCAGUGUCUCUGUGGUGGUCCACAUCUUUGUGGGUGGUCCACAUCUUUGUGGGUGGUCCAUGUCUUUGUGGGAGGCCCACCUCUUUGUGGGUGGGUCACAUCUUUAGCACUACUGAAGAUUUUGAAUGGGCGUCCUCUGGGGUCAAGGCGUCAUUUGUAGAAUUCCUUUGCUUUCUUGAGCAGAAACAGUGACCUGAAUAUGAAUGUGGGUAUUAGGGUAGGUGGAAGAAAAUCUACUGUCUGGGCUCAGCAGGGUGGACAGAGAGCCAUUGUACGGAGAGAUCUCAGAGGACGAAGGCUGCCAGGGCGCAGCUGCACGUGCUGGGAGGUCCGCCUGGAGUCUCCCUGGAGGAGGUGCUGGGAAUUCUGGGGGUGGGUGGGGGGAGGUAUUUAAGGCUCACUAGUGUGGUGCGAUUCGGGAGACUUUAACUAAUUGAGGUCCACCACAUUUGUGAACUAAUAGCUGGAUCAUGUUAAUGUCUCUGGGCGAUAAUUCCACGCUUCAUUGUCGUCUUUAAGUUCGCAGGAGAAAUGGAAACUUUAUGAUUCCUAAUUGAACCCCUCUCACCUGGCUGAGACUUCACAGAACUUCCCUCUUUGUGAAAAAGAAAUUUUACACACAUGCACAUGUGUGUACAUACAUGAGUUUAAAGGAGUUUUUAUUCUUAGAAUGAGGGCUUCGUCACUGUGAUGACAGACUCUCGCGGCCCCUUUCCUCUUGCCCUCCUGUUAUGGAGUCAGGUGCCUCAGGGCUGAGCCAGAGGUGCUAUUUGGAAUUUGUCACACGUGCCCUGUCCGCCUCUGUUUUCACCUUUGCUUGUGGCAUCUCUCUCUCCAGGACGUCCCCUCUCCUGGCGAUCCCCAACUUGAAUUUUGUCCCAUCUUCCAAGGUCACAUACUUUGUGAAGCAGUCACGGUAGCGCCAGAUUCCUGCUUGCUCCAGACUGUACUACCACGUGACCUGGCGUGCCUUACUGUGUUCUGCCUUUUAUCUGUUUUGUUACCGGUUUGUCUUUCCUCUGACUUACAGGCUCUUGGAGGGAAGCAUUUGGGUUGUAUUCAUUUUUACGUUCUCCACAGACUAGCAUUUUACUCUGCAGUAUUUUCUUUUUAAGCUAAGUUUUGCUGGAUGAAGUCGUUGAAAGCAAUGGGAACAAUUUGGAGCGGCCGAAGUUUGCAGUUUUAUGGUCUUAAUGAUGUAUUGACUCUGAAUGAUAAAAUCAGUGUAAAAAUGUCAUUGUCAUGGGUCCUAUAAUGCAGCCAGAAAUAGGCCGGUGUAUGCCUGGUGAGGAAAUACUGGUUCCUGAUGUCAAUUAUACGUGCCCUUGGAACAACUCUUCAGAGACUCCUGUCUCUUUUGACUUUGAUACAUUACGAGUCUAUUUAGAGACGGAGAAUAACACACUGGGACUCCUGUUUCUGGGCAGCUGGAGCAGAAGUACUUUCCCCUCCUCUUCCCACUAAUUACAGCUAAAAUCUUUGGGGUAUUAUAUAUAAAACAAGCAUAAGAAGACUCUGAAAGAUGGAGAGAAGAGGGCAGACUGCCCAGGGACCUCGGGAUUCAAAGGGUGACCCCGUGGUGAGCUCCCUGGGUUUCCUUUUUGCCUCAUGUAUCCCAGACUUGGAGCUCAAGAAACCAGAAAUUUAGAAAUGCCAAAGGCUACGGACAAAGCAAGACAAAAAAGGCUACUCUCCCACCAGAGGACCAGGAGAGAGGUAGCACAGUAAGACAGAAGCCUUUUAGACACUAACUGCUGUACUCUAGCCAACACACAGGAAACACUGGACCCACACCCACCCAGAAGGCCUUGCAGGAACGAGGGCUUCCCCCCUGCCUGGUGGUAAUGAGGCACCCCAACUCCCCCACUAGGGGGUGUUGGAGAAGGCCUGCUAGGGUGGUGGGCUCUCAUGUCCGGCAGGUGGUAACAAGCCGCCCCCACCCUGCCCACUUCAUGGGGCCACGGGAGGCUACGUGGGAAACUUGGGCGUUUUCCAGAAGAGAGGCAGUGCGUGCCCGGCCCCUCAGCUCAUGCCGAGUUGAUGUCAGAGGGAACCAGCCAAAAUGCAAGGUUUAAGUAAGACCCAGAGUCUCAUAACGCAGUAUGAAAAUGUCCAGGUUUCAAUCAGGAAUCACUCAUCGUACAAGAACCAGGAAGAUCUCAAACUGAAUCCAAAAAGGCAAUGAAUAGAUACCAGCACCAAGAUGGCAGAGAUGGCAGCGUUAUCCGACCAAGGCUUCAAAGCCGCCACCGCAAGAAAGCUUCCGUGAGCAGUAACCGUCGCACUAAACCAAUGAGAAAAAAUAGAGAGGCUCAGAAAAAUAGAUCAAAAGAAGACCUCAUGGAAAUUUCUGAGCUGAAAUAAUACAACCCAAAUAAAAGACUUGGUGGAUGGACUCAGUGAGGGAAUGGAGGAGAGAGAGGAAGGAAGCCAGGAACUGGAAGAUAGAACCAUCAGCUCACCCGAUCUGAAAUACGGAGAGAAAACAGAAUGAAAAUGAACAGAGCCGCAGGGACCUGUGGAUAAAAUAUCUAACAUCGUGUCAUUGGGGUCUUGGAAGGAGAGGAGAGAGGGUGGGGCUGAAAAGGAAUAGCAGGAAUAAUGCCUGAAAACUGUCCAAAUCUGGCAACACACAUAAACCUGAGGAUUCCCGAAUCCGAGAGCAUCACAAACAGGAUAAACCCAAAGAAACCCAAACUCCAAAAACUAAAGACAAGGAAAACAUCUUGAAAGUGGUCAAAGGAGGAAAAAAGAUUAUAAUGACGGCAGAUAACUCAUCAGAAACCAUGGCGGCCAGAAGGAAGUGGCACAGUACUUUCCAAGUGCUGAAAACAAAGAUGAAGACUAUUGAUUUAUUUAAAAAAAUUUUUUGUAGAAGUAUAGUUGAUUUACAGAGUUGUGUUAGUUUCUUCUGUAUAGCAAAGUGACUCAGUUACACACACAUAUAUACGUUUUUCAUAUUCUUUUCCAUUAUGGUUUGUCACAGAAUACUGAAUAUAGUUCCAUGCGCUAUAGAGACCUUGUUGCUUAUCCAUCCUACUUAUAAUAGUUUUGCCUCUGCUAAUCCCAAACUCCCAAUCCUUCCCUCCCCACCCCUCCUCCCCCUUGGCAACCACAAGUCUGUUCUCUGCGUCUGUGAGUCUGUUUCUGUUUUGUAGAUAUGUUGAUUUGUAUCAUAUUUUAGAUUUCACAUAUAAGUGAUAUCAUAUGGUAUUUGUCUUUCUCUUUCUGACUUACUUUGCUUCGUAGGAUGAUCUCUAGAUCCAUCCAUACUGCUGCAAAUGGCGUUAUUUCAUUCUUUUUGAUGGUUGAGUCAUAUUCCAUUGUAUAUAUGUACCACAUCUUCUUCAUCCAUUCAUCUGUUGAUGGACAUUUAGGUUGUUUCCAUGUCUUGACUAUUGUGAAUAGUGCUGCUAUGAACAUAGGGUGUGCAUGUAUGUUUUGAAUUAUAGUUAUGUCUGGGUAUAAGGACUAUUGAUUUAUAAUUCUUGUUCAUCUUCAGUUCCAAAAAAUGAUUCUGGAAAGACGUGCUUCUGUUAUAUAUGCCACAACCUUGACUCAGAACUUCUCACCUGUUCUCUUCUUUAAAUGACAGUAUAAGGCAAUUUAACGUGCAAUUUAAUGUGCUAUUGUUUAAUGUGCUAUCGAGGUAAACCUUGGAGUUUUCCUUCCCACAUGAAUUUUAAAAGCUUUUGGCUUUGUAGCUUAAAAAUCCACAAGUUUUGCCUAUAUAAUAGUUUUUGGGUGUUGGUAGAUUAUCUUGGUUUGUUUUAAGUAAGGUUUAUUGAAUGUUUGCACAUAAGCAGUAAAGUUCACCCUGAGUUUUUAGUUAUAGGAGCUCUGACAAACAUAUACAGUUGUGUAACACAAGUACAACCCAAAUACAAACUAUUUCCAUCAUUUAAAACAAAUCCCUGGUCUCUCUGAGUCACCUUCUCUACUUACCCCAGCCCCUGGUAACAUGGAUCUGUUUCCUGUCCCUAUAGUUGUCUUUUCUUUUCUUUUUAAAAUAUUUAUUUAUUUAUUAUUUAUUUGAUUUAUUUUGGCUGCUCCGGGUCUUAGUUGCAGCAUUCGGGCUUCUUUGUUGCAGCAUGCGUGUGGGGUCCUGUUCCCUGACCAGGGAUCGAACGCAGGCCCCCUGCGUUGGGAGCGCCGAGUCUUACCCGCCGGACCACCAGGGAAGCCCCUAUAGUUGUCUUUUCUAGGAGCAUACAGGAUGGAGCAUCUUGAGUCUAACCUCUUUUGCUUAAUGCAUUUGAGAUCCACCUGUGCUGUUCAGUCCUGUUGAUUGUUGAGUAACGUUCCGCUGUAUGGAUAUACCAUCGCCAGUUAUCCAUCCACCAGUUGAAGGACAUUUGGGUUGUUUCAGUUUUGAGUGAUUACGAGUAGUCACUGUAGGCAUUCACAUAGAGGUUUUUGUAUGAACGUCAGUUUUCACCUCUCGGGUCAACCACCUAGGGGUUAGACGUCUGGGUUUUAUAGUCAGUGUAUGUUGAACACCAAGCUGACCCAACACCACUGGUUAAAAAGCCAGUUUUUGUUUUAGCUUC